GUUUAUUUGUUCUCAUAAGGAAGAAGUGAAGCAACAAAAACACUGCUGAGCUGAACUAGAGCAAUAGAACAUUUUGAGUUGGAAGGGACCCACAAGGAUAUUGAAUCCAACUACGUCAAAAAGUGUUUCCGAAACCCCCUCCGGCCAGUGCUACAGAGAAGAGUUCCAGUAGAUCACUGAUGUGCAAAUAACUUUGCAGUAUGUUUGUUUUAUAUUGUGUUUUCAUCUGGAAUGCAUCUGUAAAGCUAACAAAUACCGUGCAUCAAACAUAGAGACAUCCAGCUGACAGCUCCAUUCCUCCUUCACUGAGACUUGUGUUCCAUCAGGGAGAAAUAUAUCAAGUUAAUAAAAUAAUUAAUCUCCUAAAAGGGGUUAAGAGCAUUCAUUUAUCUACAUUUGUAUUUAAUAUUUGUGUGUUGGAGGUAAGUUUGUGAUCCAAGUGACCCUUCCCAGACUCUGUAUCUUUUGACAGCAAUGCACUUAUAACAAAGUCUGCUGAGAGAAUCAUAGAAUCACUCAGCUUGAAAAAGACCCUGAAGAUCAUCCAAGCAUGACCUAGCCAUACUACCCUAACCAGAAACCCUCUACUAAAUCAUGUCCCUGAGCACCACAUCCAAACGGUUCUUAAACACAUCCAGGGAUGGUGACUUAACCACCUCCCUGGGGAGCCUAUUCCAGGGC
rnacentral:lncRNA from 1 species